rnacentral:rRNA from 1 species
UGGAGGGCAAGUCUGGUGCCAGCAGCCGCGGUAAUUCCAGCUCCAAUAGCGUAUAUUAAAGUUGUUGAGGUUAAAAAGCUCGUAGUUGAACCUUGGGCCUAGCCGGCCGGUCCGCCUCACCGCGUGCACUGGCUCGGCUGGGUCUUUCCUUCUGGAGAACCGCAUGCCCUUCACUGGGUGUGCCGGGGAACCAGGACUUUUACUCUGAACAAAUUAGAUCGCUUAAAGAAGGCCUAUGCUCGAAUACAUUAGCAUGGAAUAAUAGAAUAGGACGUGUGGUUCUAUUUUGUUGGUUUCUAGGACCGCCGUAAUGAUUAAUAGGGACAGUCGGGGGCAUCAGUAUUCAAUGGUCAGAGGUGAAAUUCUUGGAUUUAUUGAAGACUAACUACUGCGAAAGCAUUUGCCAAGGAUGUUUUCAUUAAUCAGGAACGAAAGUUAGGGGAUCGAAGACGAUCAGAUACCGUCGUAGUCUUAACCAUAAACUAUGCCGAUUAGGGAUCGGACGGCGUUAUUUUUUGACCCGUUCGGCACCUUACGGGAAAC